rnacentral:rRNA from 1 species
GGAGSSCACUGCUAUCGGGGUCCGACUAAGCCAUGCGAGUCAAGGGGGUGUCCCUCCGCGACACCACCGGCGGACGGCUCAGUAACACGUCGGUAACCUACCCUCGGGAGGGGGAUAACCCCGGGAAACUGGGGCUAAUCCCCCAUAGGCCUGGGGUACUGGAAGGUCCCCAGGCCGAAAAGGGCUCUCGCCCGCCCGAGGAUGGGCCGGCGGCCGAUUAGGUAGUUGGUGGGGUAACGGCCCACCAAGCCGAAGAUCGGUACGGGCUGUGAGAGCAGGAGCCCGGAGAUGGACACUGAGACACGGGUCCAGGCCCUACGGGGCGCAGCAGGCGCGAAACCUCCGCAAUGCGGGAAACCGCGACGGGGGGACCCCGAGUGCCGUGGCACCGCCACGGCUUUUCCGGAGUGUAAAAAGCUCCGGGAAUAAGGGCUGGGCAAGGCCGGUGGCAGCCGCCGCGGUAAUACCGGCGGCCCGAGUGGUGGCCGCUAUUAUUGGGCCUAAAGCGUCCGUAGCCGGGCCCGUAAGUCCCUGGCGAAAUCCCACGGCUCAACCGUGGGGCUUGCUGGGGAUACUGCGGGCCUUGGGACCGGGAGAGGCCGGGGGUACCCCUGGGGUAGGGGUGAAAUCCUAUAAUCCCAGGGGGACCGCCAGUGGCGAAGGCGCCCGGCUGGAACGGGUCCGACGGUGAGGGACGAAGGCCAGGGGAGCAAACCGGAUUAGAUACCCGGGUAGUCCUGGCUGUAAAGGAUGCGGGCUAGGUGUCGGGCGAGCUUCGAGCUCGCCCGGUGCCGUAGGAAGCCGUUAAGCCCGCCGCCUGGGGAGUACGGCCGCAAGGCUGAAACUUAAAGGAAUUGGCGGGGGAGCACUACAAGGGGUGGAGCGUGCGGUUUAAUUGGAUUCAACGCCGGGAACCUCACCGGGGGCGACGGCAGGAUGAAGGCCAGGCUGAAGGUCUUGCCGGACACGCCGAGAGGAGGUGCAUGGCCGCCGUCAGCUCGUACCGUGAGGCGUCCACUUAAGUGUGGUAACGAGCGAGACCCGCGCCCCCAGUUGCCAGCCCCUCCCGCUGGGAGGGGGGCACUCUGGGGGGACUGCCGGCGAUAAGCCGGAGGAAGGAGCGGGCGACGGUAGGUCAGUAUGCCCCGAAACCCCCGGGCUACACGCGCGCUACAAUGGGCGGGACAAUGGGAUCCAACCCCGAAAGGGGAAGGUAAUCCCCUAAACCCGCCCUCAGUUCGGAUCGCGGGCUGCAACUCGCCCGCGUGAAGCUGGAAUCCCUAGUACCCGCGUGUCAUCAUCGCGCGGCGAAUACGUCCCUGCUCCUUGCACACACCGCCCGUCACUCCACCCGAGCGGGGUCUGGAUGAGGCCCCGUCCUCUGGGCGGGGUCGAGUCCAGGCUCCGUGAGGGGGGAG